rnacentral:pre_miRNA from 1 species
GUGGCUGGGCCAGGGGCUGCAACACAGGACAUGGGAGCUGCCUCUGACUCCCGCUCGUGUCUUGUGUUGCAGCCAGUGGAACUGC